GUGAAUCAUCAAAUUUUUGAACGCAAAUUGCACUCUCUGGUAUUCCGAAGAGUAUGCCUGCUUGAGGGUCAGUUAAAUAAAAAUCGGUGUUUUGUUGCUGCUUUGCGUAGUGACGCUUCGUGUUUGAGUCGUCUUACCUUCGGUUAAGUGACCUAAAAUUUUGCAUGAUUUUCGAACGUAUUUAAAUGAUUUUACGUACGUUUGCGAUAUAGAAUACUCAGUGUGGUCAUCCUCAUUAUUCGC
rnacentral:misc_RNA from 1 species